UGGAACCCAGACCCUCACACAUCGUAGGCAAGAAUCUGUCCCCUGUCUCCUCCAUCCCACCCCUCAUUCCCAUUUCUCCCUCACCUCUCAUCCCUUAUUUCCAAGCCUCCUGCGACAUCUUCCUUUCUCCUUUCUCUCAGCCCCAUCCUCAGCCCACAUUUCCUCUGCUCCCUUUUUCUCCUCUCACUACCUGCCCUGCUCCUGUGUUCCUGCCCUAGGAGACCCCUUGCCGAUCCACCAUUACUUCCAUGGCUACCUAGCUGGUUUCAGCGUGCGCUCAGGUCGCCUGGAGAGCCGUGAGGUCAUCGAGUGCCUCUAUGCAUGUCGGGAGGGGCUGGACUAUAGGGAUUUCGAGAGCCUGGGCAAAGGCAUGAAGGUAUAGCCCUUUCCACUCCCUCUCUUUCCCCGCAUGCCCCUGGCCCCGACACCCCUCGACCCCUCUACACUUCUGCACCUUUCCUCUCCUGCCUCCUGGUCUUGCUCUCAGCUGUGUCUGUGUCUGGGACCCAGGUGCACGUGAACCCCUCGCAGUCCCUGCUCACCCUGGAGGGGGAUGAUGUGGAGACCUUCAACCAUGCCCUGCAGCACGUGGCUUACAUGAACACUCUGCGCUUUGCCACGCCCGGCGUCAGGCCCCUGCGCCUCACCACCGCUGUCAAGUGCUUUAGUGAAGAGUCCUGUGUCUCCAUCCCUGAAGUGGAGGGCUAUGUGGUGGUUCUUCAGCCCGAUGCCCCCCAGAUC
rnacentral:lncRNA from 1 species